rnacentral:rRNA from 1 species
AUUGAACGCUGGCGGCAGGCCUAACACAUGCAAGUCGAGCGAGCGGCGGACGGGUGAGUAAUGUCUGGGGAACUGCCUGAUGGAGGGGGAUAACUACUGGAAACGGUAGCUAAUACCGCAUACCAUCAGAUGUGCCCAUAUGGGAUUAGCUUGUAGGUGGGGUAACGGCUCACCUAGGCGACGAUCCCUAGCUGGUCUGAGAGGAUGACCAGCCACACUGGAACUGAGACACGGCCCAGACUCCUACGGGAGGCAGCAGUGGGGAAUAUUGCACAAUGGGCGCAAGCCUGAUGCAGCCAUGCCGCGUGUAUGAAGAAGGCCUUCGGGUUGUAAAGUACUUUCAGCGGGGAGGCGUUACUGGCAGAAGAAGCACCGGCUAACUCCGUGCCAGCAGCCGCGGUAAUUC